AGACGGAAAGACCCUGUGCACCUUUACUGCAACUUGACAGUGGAAUUCGGUGUUGUUUGUGUAGGAUAGGUGGGAGACUUUGAAACCUGGGCGCUAGCUUGGGUGGAGUCAACCUUGAAAUACCACCCUGACGAUUCUGGAUUUCUAACUUAUCUGCCUAUAUCGGCGGAGAGGACACUGUCUGGUGGGUAGUUUGACUGGGGCGGUUGCUUCGAUUUUAAUGGAGCGCCUCUGUAGUAAUACAGAGGGUAAAUUCGGCUAUAUGCUGGGAAGACCGGUCAGUAUCNNNNNNNNNNNNNNNNGUAGCAGGCUUUAGCCUGCGCCAUAUUGUGAAAAUUCUCGGGUGCGGUUCAUCAGCAGGGAAGUCUUAAAUGACCCCUCAACGACUAUACGCCGAAUAUCCUGCAAACGCAGGAUAGUGAUAUAGUCUGAACUUCCGGGCGAUCGGAAGCCUAUUAAAGGUGUCUGGCCUCCAAGAUCGGAGGUGUUUAUGAGAUCAAAGGUAAUAGAAGAGUAUAAAACGGGUUUGCGAUUGAACUCUACACAGAGAGAAGUUGUGAUAGGAUUGAUGCUUGGCGACGGGAAUUUGGAAACUUCUAAUAAUGGCAGGACAUACAGAUUAAAGAUCGAACACAGUGUCACUCAAAGAGAGUAUCUGGAACAUCUGUACAAUGUUUUCAAAGACUGGGUUUUAACCCCGCCAAGGAUGAGAGAAUUUCAAUAUAAUGGCAAAAUAUAUCGCCAUCUGGUAUUUUCAACUUUGAGCCAUGCAAGUUUUCGAUUCUAUGCUCAUCAAUUCUAUAAUGAUGGAAAAAAGGUCGUUCCAAAAUUAAUACACCGGUGGUUGACGCCAAUGGCGAUGGCUUACUGGUUUAUGGAUGACGGUUCCAUCAAGUCAAGCGAGUCCAAGGGAGUAAUAUUCAACACCCAGGGAUUUUCAAGACAAGAUGUUGCAAGGCUCAUCGGAGCUAUGCAAAGAAACUUUCAGUUAGAGGUUAAAGAUCGCAGACAAAAAGAAGGAUAUCAGAUAUAUGUUUCAGGCAGGAGCUAUGAGAAUUUCUCAUCUAUUGUACUCCCGCACAUGCUUGACUCAAUGAAGUAUAAAUUACCUAAAGCCAGACAAACACAAUUGCCAAAAGAGUAACGGAAGCGCGCGAUGGUUCCCUCAGGCCGAUUGGAAACCGGCCGUCGAGUGCAAGGACAUAAGGGAGCUUAACUGUGAGACUUACAAGUCAAGCAGAUGCGAAAGCAGGUCCUAGUGAUCCGGUGGUCCCGCAUGGAAGGGCCAUCGCUCAUCGGACAAAAGGUACGCCGGGGAUAACAGGCUGAUCGCAUCCAAGAGUUCAUAUCGACGAUGCGGUUUGGCACCUCAACAUUUAGGGGUGAAUCCAUGGAAACAUGGAAUUUAGUAUCGGCUUAUAACGGUGGACUCCUUGCCAACAAUGUGGUAAGGACAAUACCGUGGGAAGUCUAACUCGGGAGCAAAUAUCCAUAAUAACUGGUUGUCUGCUAGGUGAUGGUGCGAUGAGAUGUAAAAUCAAUGCACUAUUGGAAAUUAAUCAUAGUUUAGAACAAAAGUGUUAUGUUGAUUGGAAAUAUUCUAAACUAAGAAACCUAGUAGGAACGCCGCCAAAGGCGAGAGAUGGAAACGAAGGGAGGGUUGCGUAUAGAUUUACAACCCUUAGCCUGCCCGUUCUCACGGAAAUAUAUCAUCAGUUUUUUGUGAGCGGUAAGAAGGUAAUUCCAGAGCAAUUACAUCUGGAUUCGUUAAGCCUUGCGGUUUGGUUUAUGGAUGAUGGUUGUAAGAGUUAUCGGGCGGUGUAUUUUAAUACACAAAAGUUCGAUAUGGAGUCGCAAUUAAGGCUUAUUUCUCUGUUUGACACAGAGUUCGGUUUGAAACUAACGCUGAAUAGAGAUAAAACAUACUACAGAUUGAGAAUGUCUGUAGCCAGUGUCGAAGAAUUUUGCAAACUGAUCAAGCCUCAUAUGAUUCCACAACUCUUAUACAAGCUCCCGUAAUGACCCCGUAACGACUGAUUCUAUCUUUAAGCUAGAUAGAUGAGAUAGCGGUGAAUAGCUGCUAUCACACGCCGACCCCUCAUCCGGCAUUGGCCGGAUAGGGUGAAGAUAUAGUCUGCGCCAUUGGUAACAAUGGAAUAACGUGCGAUGUCGGCUCAUCACAUCCUGGGGCUGUAGCAGGUCCCAAGGGUUUGGCUGUUCGCCAAUUAAAGUGGUACGCGAGCUGGGUUCAGACCGUCGUGAGACAGGUCGGUCCCUAUCUUCCGUGGGCGCUGGAAAUUUGAGAGGAUCUGUCCAUAGUACGAGAGGACCUGGAUGGACGCACCUCUGGUGUACCAGUUAUCACGCCAGUGGUAAAAGCUGGGUAGCCAAGUGCGGUCGGGAGAACCGCUGAAAGCAUCUAAGUGGGAAACCCACCUCAAGAUAAGAUUNNNNNNNNNNNNNNNNNNNNNNNNNNNNNNNNNNNNNNNNNUUUGUUAAACUUCUAUUU
rfam:Deltaproteobacteria bacterium RIFCSPLOWO2_02_FTLL_47_10 rifcsplowo2_02_scaffold_52338, whole genome shotgun sequence.